AUUGAACGCUGGCGGCAGGCCUAACACAUGCAAGUCGAGCGGACGACGGGAGCUUGCUCCUUGAUUCAGCGGCGGACGGGUGAGUAAUGCCUAGGAAUCUGCCUGGUAGUGGGGGACAACGUUUCGAAAGGAACGCUAAUACCGCAUACGUCCUACGGGAGAAAGCAGGGGACCUUCGGGCCUUGCGCUAUCAGAUGAGCCUAGGUCGGAUUAGCUAGUAGGUGAGGUAAUGGCUCACCUAGGCGACGAUCCGUAACUGGUCCGAGAGGAUGAUCAGUCACACUGGAACUGAGACACGGUCCAGACUCCUACGGGAGGCAGCAGUGGGGAAUAUUGGACAAUGGGCGAAAGCCUGAUCCAGCCAUGCCGCGUGUGUGAAGAAGGUCUUCGGAUUGUAAAGCACUUUAAGUUGGGAGGAAGGGCAGUAAGCUAAUACCUUGCUGUUUUGACGUUACCGACAGAAUAAGCACCGGCUAACUCUGUGCCAGCCGCCGCGGUAAUAC
rnacentral:rRNA from 1 species